rnacentral:rRNA from 1 species
UGUGCGGUUUCUGGCCCGCACAAAGGUAGCACAAUCAUUUGCCUUAUAAUUGAAGGCUAGUAUGAAUGGUUUGACAAGAAUAUAGCUGUCUCUUUAUGGCUAUUUAGAAUUUUAUUUAUAGGUGAAGAAGCCUAUAUUUCAUUAAUAGACGAGAAGACCCUAUCGAGCUUCAAAUAAAUUAAUAGAUAUAAAUCAAUUAAAUAAUAAUUAAAAUAAAAACUAUUAAAUAUUCAUAGUUAGUUGGGGCGACUGAGGAACAAUAAAAGCUUCCUUUGCAUUUUAAUAGACUAUACUAGUUUUAAUCCAAAAACUUUUUGAUCAAAGAAAUUAGCUACCGUAGGGAUAACAGCAUAAUCCCUUUUGAGAGCUCCUAUCGAAAAGGGGGUUUGUGACCUCGAUGUUGGACUAGAAUAUCCCAAAGAUGCACCAGUCUUUAAAGGUGGGUCUGUUCGACUUUUACGGUCUAAAGUGACACA